rnacentral:rRNA from 1 species
AGAACGAACGCUGGCGGCAUGCCUAACACAUGCAAGUCGCACGAGAAAGGGGCUUCGGCUCUGGAGUAAAGUGGCGCACGGGUGAGUAACACGUGAAUUAUCUACCUCCGAGUGGGGAAUAACUGAGAGAAAUCUUAGCUAAUACCGCAUAACACUUACGAGUCAAAGCAGCAAUGCGCUUGGGAGAGGAAUUCGCGGCCGAUUAGUUAGUUGGCGGGGUAAUGGCCCACCAAGACGAUGAUCGGUA